rnacentral:rRNA from 1 species
ACGCAAUAGAUACCCUGGUAGUCCAUGCCGUAAACGUUGGGCGCUAGGUGUGGGGACUUUCCACGGUCUCCGCGCCGUAGCUAAACGCAUUAAGCGCCCCGCCUGGGGAGUACGGCCGCAAGGCUAAAACUCAAAGGAAUUGACGGGGGCCCGCACAAGCGGCGGAGCAUGUUGCUUAAAUUCGACGCAACGCGAAGAACCUUACCAAGGUUUGACAUCACCCGUGGACCUGUAGAGAUACAGGGUCAUUUAGUUGGUGGGUGACAGGUGGUGCAUGGCUGCCGUCAGCUCGUGUCGUGAGAUGUUGGGUUAAGUCCCGCAACGAGCGCAACCCUUGUUCCAUGUUGCCAGCACGUAAUGGUGGGGACUCAUGGGAGACUGCCGGGGUCAACUCGGAGGAAGGUGGGGACGACGUCAAGUCAUCAUGCCCCUUAUGUCUUGGGCUGCAAACAUGCUACAAUGGCCGGUACAAUGGGCGUGCGAUACCGUAAGGUGGAGCGAAUCCCUUAAAGCCGGUCUCAGUUCGGAUU